rnacentral:rRNA from 1 species
GGCGAACGCUGGCGGCGUGCUUAACACAUGCAAGUCGAGCGGUAAGGCCCUUUCGGGGGUACACGAGCGGCGAACGGGUGAGUAACACGUGGGUGACCUGCCCUCAGCUCUGGGAUAAGCCUGGGAAACCGGGUCUAAUACUGGAUAUGACUCCAUGACGCAUGUUGUGGGGUGGAAAGCCUUGUGCGGCUGAGGAUGGGCCCGCGGCCUAUCAGCUUGUUGGUGGGGNGAUGGCCUACCAAGGCGACGACGGGUAGCCGGCCUGAGAGGGCGACCGGCCACACUGGGACUGAGACACGGCCCAGACUCCUACGGGAGGCAGCAGUGGGGAAUCUUGCGCAAUGGGCGAAAGCCUGACGCAGCGACGCCGCGUGAGGGAUGACGGCCU